GGUACUGUAACAGGAGUAGUGUAAGGUGUAGUGAAGGUACUGUAACAGGAGUAGUGUAGGGUGUAGUGAAGGUACUGUAACAGGAGUAGUGCAGGGUGUAGUGAAGGUACUGUAACAGGAGUAGUGUAGGGUGUAGUGAAGGUACUGUAACAGGAGUAGUGUAGGGUGUAGUGAAGGUACUGUAACAGGAGUAGUGUAGGGUGUAGUGAAGGUACUGUAACAGGAGUAGUGUAGGGUGUAGUGAAGGUACUGUAACAGGAGUAGUGUAGGGUGUAGUGAAGGUACUGUAACAGGAGUAGUGUAGGGUGUAGUGAAGGUACUGUAACAGGAG